GACGAACGCUGGCGGCGUGCUUAACACAUGCAAGUCGAAGGGCAAGGCCCUGCUUGCCGGGUAAACGAGUGCGGAACACGUGAGUAACCCGUGGGGGAUCUGCGCUGUACCCCGGGAUAAGCCUGGGUAACUGGGCCUAAUACCGGCGAGGAGACACGCUUAGAGAGAGGGUGGGAGAGCUUUUUCGGUGGAGGAUGAGCUCGCGGCCUAUCAGCUUGUGGGUGGGGUAAGGGCCUACCACGGCGGCGACGGGUAGCCGGCCUGAGAGCAUGGACGGCCAGAGUGGGACUGGGAUACGGCGCAGACUACUACGGGGGGCAGCUGUGGGGAAUGUUGCACAAUGGGCGAAAGCCUGAUGCAGCGACGCCGGGUGGGGGAUGACGGCCUUCGGUGUGGAUCCGCCUGACGCUAGGGACGAAGCUUGUGUGACGGUACCGAGAGAAGAAGCACCGGCUAACUAUGUG
rnacentral:rRNA from 1 species